UACGUAGGCGGAAUAUUAAGUCAGUGGUGAAAUCCUGCGGCUCAACCGUAGAACUGCCAUUGAUACUGAUGUUCUUGAAUAUAGUUGAGGUAGGCGGAAUGUGUAAUGUAGCGGUGAAAUGCUUAGAUAUUACACAGAACACCGAUUGCGAAGGCAGCUUACUAAACUAUCAUUGACGCUGAUGUACGAAAGCGUGGGGAGCGAACAGGAUUAGAUACCCUGGUAGUCC
rnacentral:rRNA from 1 species